UACGAAGGGGGCUAGCGUUGUUCGGAAUCACUGGGCGUAAAGGGCGCGUAGGCGGCUGUUCAAGUCGGGGGUGAAAGCCUGUGGCUCAACCACAGAAUUGCCUCGAUACUGGACGGCUCGAGACCGGAAGAGGUCAGUGGAACUGCGAGUGUAGAGGUGAAAUUCGUAGAUAUUCGCAAGAACACCAGUGGCGAAGGCGGACUGACUGGUCCGGUUCUGACGCUGAGGCGCGAAAGCGUGGGGAGCAAACAGG
rnacentral:rRNA from 1 species